rnacentral:rRNA from 1 species
UUGAAAGGGAAACGAUUGAAGUCAGUCGUACCCACCAAAAAUUCAGCUUUUCNNAUNNCAUUUUUUNCCAUAUGAGAUCUUCAUUGUUUGCAAUAUUAUUUUCUUUNGUNACUUUUUCUAUNUANUCAACUCNUUUUAUCCCAUAAAAUNUCGANAAUUACUUCGNUCNUUAAUUUAUACCUUUGUAAAUUGUAUUAAACCAGAUUCAACAAUACCUUUUAGCUAUCCUCUACCUCUAAAUUACUUAGUUCAAACUUCUUACUUCAUUUAAUUACNUCAAUAGUUAAACUAUUACAUUCGUUAAGGAUGUUGACGUA